rnacentral:rRNA from 1 species
UCCAGACUCCUACGGGAGGCAGCAGUGGGGGAUAUUGCACAAUGGGGGAAACCCUGAUGCAGCGACGCCGCGUGAGUGAAGAAGUAUUUCGGUAUGUAAAGCUCUAUCAGCAGGGAAGAAAAAAGACGGUACCUGACUAAGAAGCCCCGGCUAACUACGUGCCAGCAGCCGCGGUAAUACGUAGGGGGCAAGCGUUAUCCGGAUUUACUGGGUGUAAAGGGAGCGUAGACGGCAAUACAAGUCGGAAGUGAAAUACCCGGGCUCAACCUGGGAGCUGCUUUGGAAACUGUAUGGCUGGAGUGCUGGAGAGGUAAGCGGAAUUCCUAGUGUAGCGGUGAAAUGCGUAGAUAUUAGGAGGAACACCAGUGGCGAAGGCGGCUUACUGGACAGUAACUGACGUUGAGGCUCGAAAGCGUGGGGAGCAAACAGGAUUAGAUACCCUAGUACC